AGAUUAAGUUAUUAAGGGCGCACGGUGGAUGCCUUGGCACUAGAAGCCGACGAAGGACGUUACUAACGACGAUAUGCUUUGGGGAGCUGUAAGUAAGCUUUGAUCCAGAGAUUUCCGAAUGGGGAAACCCAGCACGAGUUAUGUCGUGUUAUCGAUAUGUGAAUACAUAGCAUAUCUGAAGGCAGACGCGGAGAACUGAAACAUCUUAGUACCCGCAGGAAGAGAAAGAAAAAUCGAUUCCCUGAGUAGCGGCGAGCGAAACGGGAAGAGCCCAAACCAACGAGCUUGCUUGUUGGGGUUGUAGGACACUCUAUACGGAGUUACAAAAGAACAGACUAGACGAAUCAUCUGGAAAGAUGAAUCAAAGAAGGUAAUAAUCCUGUAGUCGAAAGUUUGUUCACUCUUGAGUGGAUCCUGAGUACGACGGAACACGAGAAAUUCCGUCGGAAUCUGGGAGGACCAUCUCCCAAGGCUAAAUACUCUCUAGUGACCGAUAGUGAACCAGUACCGUGAGGGAAAGGUGAAAAGUACCCCGGAAGGGGAGUGAAAUAGAACUUGAAACCGUGUGCUUACAAGUAGUCAGAGCCCGUUAAUGGGUGAUGGCGUGCCUUUUGUAGAAUGAACCGGCGAGUUACGAUUUGAUGCAAGGUUAAGCAGUGAAUGUGGAGCCGUAGCGAAAGCGAGUCUGAAUAGGGCGUUGAGUAUUUGGUCGUAGACCCGAAACCAGGUGAUCUACCCAUGACCAGGUUGAAGUUCAGGUAACACUGAAUGGAGGACCGAACCGACUUACGUUGAAAAGUGAGCGGAUGAGUUGUGGGUAGCGGAGAAAUUCCAAUCGAACCUGGAGAUAGCUGGUUCUCUCCGAAAUAGCUUUAGGGCUAGCCUCAAGUGAUGAUUAUUGGAGGUAGAGCACUGUUUGGACGAGGGGCCCUUAUCGGGUUACCGAAUUCAGACAAACUCCGAAUGCCAAUCAAUUUAACUUGGGAGUCAGAACGCGGGUGAUAAGGUCCGUGUUCGAAAGGGAAACAGCCCAGACCACCAGCUAAGGUCCCAAAAUAUAUGUUAAGUGGAAAAGGAUGUGGCGUUGCCCAGACAACUAGGAUGUUGGCUUAGAAGCAGCCAUCAUUUAAAGAGUGCGUAAUAGCUCACUAGUCGAGUGACACUGCGCCGAAAAUGUACCGGGGCUAAACAUAUUACCGAAGCUGUGGAUUGUCCGUAAGGACAAUGGUAGGAGAGCGUUCUAAGGGCGUUGAAGCAUGAUCGCAAGGACAUGUGGAGCGCUUAGAAGUGAGAAUACCGGUGUGAGUAGCGAAAGACGGGUGAGAAUCCCGUCCACCGAUUGACUAAGGUUUCCAGAGGAAGGCUCGUCCGCUCUGGGUUAGUCGGGUCCUAAGCUGAGGCCGAUAGGCGUAGGCGAUGGAUAACAGGUUGAUAUUCCUGUACCACCAUUAUUCGUUUUAAGCGAUGGGGGGACGCAGUAGGAUAGGCGAAGCGUACGAUUGGAUUGUACGUCCAAGCAGUGAGAUUGAGUGUUAGGCAAAUCCGGCACUCUUAAGAUUGAGCUGUGAUGGGGAGAGGAAAUUGUUUCCUCGAGUCGUUGAUUUCACACUGCCAAGAAAAGCCUCUAGCUAGAAUUGUGGUGCCCGUACCGCAAACCGACACAGGUAGUCAAGAUGAGAAUUCUAAGGUGAGCGAGCGAACUCUCGUUAAGGAACUCGGCAAAAUGACCCCGUAACUUCGGGAGAAGGGGUGCUCUUUAGGGUUAACGCCCAGGAGAGCCGCAGUGAAUAGGCCCAAGCGACUGUUUAUCAAAAACACAGGUCUCUGCUAAACCGUAAGGUGAUGUAUAGGGGCUGACGCCUGCCCGGUGCUGGAAGGUUAAGAGGAGUGGUUAGCUUCUGCGAAGCUACGAAUCGAAGCCCCAGUAAACGGCGGCCGUAACUAUAACGGUCCUAAGGUAGCGAAAUUCCUUGUCGGGUAAGUUCCGACCCGCACGAAAGGCGUAACGAUUUGGGCACUGUCUCAACGAGAGACUCGGUGAAAUCAUAGUACCUGUGAAGAUGCAGGUUACCCGCGACAGGACGGAAAGACCCCGUGGAGCUUUACUGUAGUCUGAUAUUGAAAUUCGGCACAGCUUGUACAGGAUAGGUAGGAGCCUGAGAUACGUGAGCGCUAGCUUACGUGGAGGCGUUGGUGGGAUACUACCCUCGCUGUGUUGGAUUUCUAACCCGCACCAUUUAUCAUGGUGGGAGACAGUGUCAGAUGGGCAGUUUGACUGGGGCGGUCGCCUCCUAAAGAGUAACGGAGGCGCUCAAAGGUUUCCUCAGAAUGGUUGGAAAUCAUUCAUAGAGUGUAAAGGCAUAAGGAAGCUUGACUGCGAGACUUACAAGUCGAGCAGGGUCGAAAGACGGACUUAGUGAUCCGGUGGUUCCGCAUGGAAGGGCCAUCGCUCAACGGAUAAAAGCUACCCCGGGGAUAACAGGCUUAUCUCCCCCAAGAGUUCACAUCGACGGGGAGGUUUGGCACCUCGAUGUCGGCUCAUCGCAUCCUGGGGCUGUAGUCGGUCCCAAGGGUUGGGCUGUUCGCCCAUUAAAGCGGUACGCGAGCUGGGUUCAGAACGUCGUGAGACAGUUCGGUCCCUAUCCGUCGUGGGCGUAGGAAAUUUGAGAGGAGCUGUCCUUAGUACGAGAGGACCGGGAUGGACAUACCUCUGGUGUACCAGUUGUCGUGCCAACGGCAUCGCUGGGUAGCUAUGUAUGGACGGGAUAAGUGCUGAAAGCAUCUAAGCAUGAAGCCCCCCUCAAGAUGAGAUUUCCCAACUUCGGUUAUAAGAUCCCUCAAAGAUGAUGAGGUUAAUAGGUUCGAGGUGGAAGCAUAGCGAUAUGUGCAGCUGACGAAUACUAAUCGAUCGAAGACUUAAUCAAAUUUUA
rnacentral:rRNA from 1 species